rnacentral:rRNA from 1 species
AAAUUGAAGAGUUUGAUCAUGGCUCAGAUUGAACGCUGGCGGCAGGCCUAACACAUGCAAGUCGAGCGGUAACACAGGGAGCUUGCUCCCGGGUGACGAGCGGCGGACGGGUGAGUAAUGUCUGGGAAACUGCCUGAUGGAGGGGGAUAACUACUGGAAACGGUAGCUAAUACCGCAUAACGUCGCAAGACCAAAGAGGGGGACCUUCGGGCCUCUUGCCAUCAGAUGUGCCCAGAUGGGAUUAGCUAGUAGGUGGGGUAACGGCUCACCUAGGCGACGAUCCCUAGCUGGUCUGAGAGGAUGACCAGCCACACUGGAACUGAGACACGGUCCAGACUCCUACGGGAGGCAGCAGUGGGGAAUAUUGCACAAUGGGCGCAAGCCUGAUGCAGCCAUGCCGCGUGUAUGAAGAAGGCCUUCGGGUUGUAAAGUACUUUCAGCGGGGAGGAAGGCGAUAAGGUUAAUAACCUUGUCGAUUGACGUUACCCGCAGAAGAAGCACCGGCUAACUCCGUGCCAGCAGCCGCGGUAAUACGGAGGGUGCAAGCGUUAAUCGGAAUUACUGGGCGUAAAGCGCACGCAGGCGGUCUGUCAAGUCGGAUGUGAAAUCCCCGGGCUCAACCUGGGAACUGCAUUCGAAACUGGCAGGCUAGAGUCUUGUAGAGGGGGGUAGAAUUCCAGGUGUAGCGGUGAAAUGCGUAGAGAUCUGGAGGAAUACCGGUGGCGAAGGCGGCCCCCUGGACAAAGACUGACGCUCAGGUGCGAAAGCGUGGGGAGCAAACAGGAUUAGAUACCCUGGUAGUCCACGCCGUAAACGAUGUCGACUUGGAGGUUGUGCCCUUGAGGCGUGGCUUCCGGAGCUAACGCGUUAAGUCGACCGCCUGGGGAGUACGGCCGCAAGGUUAAAACUCAAAUGAAUUGACGGGGGCCCGCACAAGCGGUGGAGCAUGUGGUUUAAUUCGAUGCAACGCGAAGAACCUUACCUACUCUUGACAUCCAGAGAACUUAGCAGAGAUGCUUUGGUGCCUUCGGGAACUCUGAGACAGGUGCUGCAUGGCUGUCGUCAGCUCGUGUUGUGAAAUGUUGGGUUAAGUCCCGCAACGAGCGCAACCCUUAUCCUUUGUUGCCAGCGGUUAGGCCGGGAACUCAAAGGAGACUGCCAGUGAUAAACUGGAGGAAGGUGGGGAUGACGUCAAGUCAUCAUGGCCCUUACGAGUAGGGCUACACACGUGCUACAAUGGCGCAUACAAAGAGAAGCGACCUCGCGAGAGCAAGCGGACCUCAUAAAGUGCGUCGUAGUCCGGAUUGGAGUCUGCAACUCGACUCCAUGAAGUCGGAAUCGCUAGUAAUCGUAGAUCAGAAUGCUACGGUGAAUACGUUCCCGGGCCUUGUACACACCGCCCGUCACACCAUGGGAGUGGGUUGCAAAAGAAGUAGGUAGCUUAACCUUCGGGAGGGCGCUUACCACUUUGUGAUUCAUGACUGGGGUGAAGUCGUAACAAGGUAACCGUAGGGGAACCUGCGGUUGGAUCACCUCCUUACCUUAAAGAA